rnacentral:rRNA from 1 species
UGUAGUCAUAUGCUUGUCUCAAAGAUUAAGCCAUGCAUGUCUAAGUAUAAGCAAUUAUACCGUGAAACUGCGAAUGGCUCAUUAAAUCAGUUAUCGUUUAUUUGAUAGUACCUUACUACUUGGAUAACCGUGGUAAUUCUAGAGCUAAUACAUGCUGAAAACCCCGACUUACGAAGGGGUGUAUUUAUUAGAUAAAAAACCAACGCCCUUCGGGGCUUCUUGGUGAUUCAUGAUAACUUUACGGAUCGCAUGGCCUUGCGCCGGCGACGGUUCAUUCAAAUUUCUGCCCUAUCAACUUUCGAUGGUAAGGUAUUGGCUUACCAUGGUUUCAACGGGUAACGGGGAAUGGGGCGGGGGCGGCGGGCCGGGCGCGGGGCGCGGCGGGCG